rnacentral:lncRNA from 1 species
AUUCUUUUGAGCUUCCCUUUCUUGCAACUUUGCACUCUCCAACCCACUUGAAAAAGUUAGCUGGGUUUUCAUCUAAAGCCCGCUUGAGUGAGGAUUUUAUUUCAGGACAAUCUUCCCCGUUGCUUCCCUUCAAUCUGGUAUUUCAUACAGACAACUGCUUUGAUUAAGCCUUGAGCUAAGCUGUUGCUAAUACAGACCCAGACCUAUGGCCAUUCCUGCACAUUUAUUUCCCUAGAAAACGCAUCUUCAACAAGGAAAAGACAGUCCGAGAGCCCGGGGUCCCAGCUUUGGCAUUCAGAUGAAUCAUUGAAAAGACUCAGUGGCUUGCGGUUCCCAAAGCUUUUGAGAAAGCCAGGAGAAAACGAUGAGGCCCUUGGCACCUAGUUAAACACAACUAUGUUCUGUGUUUUUGUGUAUUACAUUAAAAAAUGGUAAAAACUAGAAUA